AGCAGAGUGGUACAGCAGGUAGCAUUGCUGCCUCACAGCUCCAGGGUCCCCAGUUCAAUCCUGAGCUCAGCUU